rnacentral:rRNA from 1 species
GAUGAACGCUGGCGGCGUGCCUAAUACAUGCAAGUCGAGCGAACGGACGAGAAGCUUGCUUCUCUGAUGUUAGCGGCGGACGGGUGAUUAACACGUGGAUAACCUACCUAUAAGACUGGGAUAACUUCGGGAAACCGGAGCUAAUACCGGAUGAUAUUUUGACCCGCAUGGUUCAAAAGUGAAAGACGGUCUUGCUGUCACUUAUAGAUGGAUCCGCGCUGCAUUAGCUAGUUGGUAAGGUAACGGCUUACCAAGGCAACGAUGCAUAGCCGACCUCAGAGGGAGAUCGGCCAGACUGUAACUGAGACACGGUCCAGACUCUUACGGGAGGCAGCAGUAGGGACUCUUCCGCAAUGGGGCAAAGCCUGACGGUGCAACGCCGCGUGAGUGAUGAACGACUUAGGAUCGUAAAACGAUGUUAUCAGUGAAGAACAUAUGUGUAAGUAACCGUGCACAUCUUGACGGUACCUAAUCAGAAAGCCCCGGCUAACUACGUG